GUAGGGAAUCUUCCACAAUGGACGAAAGUCUGAUGGAGCAACGCCGCGUGAGUGAAGAAGGUCUUCGGAUCGUAAAACUCUGUUGUUAGAGAAGAACGUGCAUGAUAGUAACUGAUCAUGUAAUGACGGUAUCUAACCAGAAAGCCACGGCUAACUACGUGCCAGCAGCCGCGGUAAUACGUAGGUGGCAAGCGUUGUCCGGAUUUAUUUGGCGUAAAGGGAACGCAGGCGGUUUUUUAAGUCUGAUGUGAAAGCCUUCGGCUUAACCGAAGAAUAGCAUUGGAAACUGGAAGACUUGAGUGCAGAAGAGGAGAGUGGAAUUCCAUGUGUAGCGGUGAAAUGCGUAGAUAUAUGGAGGAACACCAGUGGCGAAAGCGGCUCUCUGGUCUGUAACUGACGCUGAGGUUCGAAAGCGUGGGUAGCAAACAGGAUUAGAAACCCGAGUAGUCC
rnacentral:rRNA from 1 species